UUGCCGUGCUUCUUAAAUGCUUCUUAAUUCUUUGAUAUGAUAAAUCUCAUAAAACAAUCGGAAUACUUCCACUAUAUUAAGUUAAACAACGACGAGAAAUCUGUGAACCCAAGAUUGUGAUAUCAUAGAGAAAGCAGCUCAAACAAAUCUCACCCCUCGCUCAUUACGGGUUUUGUUGUUGAUUCGUGUUGCUUUGCCCUGUCACAAUACGCGUUCAAACAAAACAAAAACACACGCAUGAACUUAGUGGCAAGAGAAGAGGUGAGGAGAGAAACAUACACGCACACAGCUGCUGGCAUUCACACCAUCAAUCGUUGUGCCUGUCGCUUGGCUGCACUUGUGCCAUGAAUUCCCAAACCCAAACUGAAACCCAAACGCAAACUCGAACGCAAUCCCAAUCCCUAGUCAACCGCAGAAUCAGAAUCAGCACCCUUUUGGCACGCACCUGCCCAUGCUCAUGUUCAUGUCCGGUUCGGUUCUGUUCUGUUGAGUACAGUUCAGUUCAGUUCAGG